rnacentral:misc_RNA from 1 species
UAAUAAUAACAAUAAUAAUAAUAUAGCGUAUAAAAAACAAAUUUUCCAUAUUGCUUCCAUGUUUUAUCCUUCAUCAUGAAGGCUUAGUUAUUGUUCAACCCAGAUGAUCCUACUCAUCAACUCUAAAAAGAAGAAAAGUAAUAGCAUUCUGCAUGAAAUAUCAUAAAUUAAAAAUAAACAGACCCUGCAAAUUUAAUAUAUUUCCACAUAUGAUGAGCCUUAUAUAAUGAUUCAACUGAACAACUCAAGAGAUAUUCUCAUUUUGGAUGGGGCAAACAUGUGUUCAUACAUCCCAUUUGACAUGAAAUAUUAGCUAACUGAUCAUCACUGCUGCUUCAUGGAGAGUCAAAACCAAAGCAUGUUGCACUUGAUAAUUCCAAAAAGAUCCAGACAAUCAAAUCACAAAGAAAAUGCCUUUGUGGUUCUUAUUCAGCAACCUUGACAUCUUGGACAAACUGAAAGUUCCCUUUAAAAUUCCCUGUGACAAUCAAUAACCCCAAUAAUCAUUGCGGAUUUCGUCAUCAAACUUCUUCUUUAAAUCAGGAUGCUUCUCAAAGUAUUCAUCAGCGGUCAUGGUACUGAGCUUUUUCUGUUAAUUUGGCAACAAAUCCGUGAGAAUUAAAUAUAAGAAAAUAGAACAUUGUAAGUCUGAAAGAACUAGACAAGGAUAAAAAUGUGCGGCAUCCCCAGCACCUUCAAGUCUUGAACUUCUGCAAUCUCCUUUUCUAGUCUUUCAGACUCCUUAACAGAUUUCUCCUCAGCUUCUUUCAGUUCCACCAACUGUGGUCAAUAUGUUCAACUUCAUUACAUAAAUAAAGGGCACAAAAUGUAAAAAUCUUCGAAUAUUACCAACAUAAAUAAAGGAUAUGAAAUUUAAUGUUCUUUGAACAUUACUAGCACAAAAUUUGACAAGCAUAGAAUGAACCAUUUAUUAUGAACAUUUGCAUAAUUUAGAAAUUUUCUUAACUGGUUAACCUACAUAAUUUCUUCAACAAAAUUACAAACAGAAAACAAGUUGCAGAUCCUUCAGCCUCGAAAAAGUUUAGUAGAAGCUAAAGGAGGAAGUAGUAAUGAAGUCACAGAAACUGCAAAUAAAUACUAUUGAUCUUCACCAGAGAGUCAAACUUUGGUUUGUAUUGAGGAGUGACCUUGUCCACAUACUUGGGGAUCUCAAUGCCUGCAAAGUGAUACACAACAAUGCUAAGUUAAGCUGCAAGCAGGUCAUCAUACAAGAAAAUUCCAAUCAGCACGAUGAGAAUUUUGAUUGAAUAUCUUCACCUCCAAAACUGUUUUACUUUCAGAAUUUCCAUUGAAUAAAACACUCAAGUGCAAUGAUAUAGAAUGUAACACCUGUUUUCUAGUCCUAAUCUUCAAAAACAGCAGCUUCAAAUACCAAGAAAUUUAAAAUCAUUAAGAGGAGCAUUAUCACAAAUUUCCAGCAACACCUAAGCAAGUCAUGUUUCAGGAAAAGAAUAUGAACUACAGGAAUAUUCAUUAGAAGAAAAUGCAAUGGUUUUCCUAAUUUACAAGGAAUUAGGUGGGUAGUCCUCCAACAGCCAAGAAAGAACCAUACUUUUGGAUAAUUUCCAUCAGAAAGAUUUUCAAUUGCUAUAUAGAAACAAGAUAGGUGACUACCACAAAAGUACAAAAUAUAUUCGUUUAUCCAACAACCUAUUGAACAAUAACCAUGUAAAAGACAUACUGUCAUAUGCUUCCUUGUACAUAUCAACCAAGCGAGAACCAAUUCCCCUUCUAUAAUAUUCCCACUCUAUGGGUUCAGGUUCCUGGCUGAACUUGGUUUGGAGCUGGGAAUUGACUUCGUCGAAAGCUCGGCGUAGAGUGGCGAACUCCUUGCGAGCCUCGUCGGUGACGAGGAGCCUGGCCAUACCAUCCCAGUCUAUGUUCUUUGAUGCUUUGAAAGCCACAUCCGUUAUCUUCUUCCCAGCCCCACUCAUCUUCUUCUUUUGCCCUCUCCCUCUCUAAUUGAUUGAGCUCUGAAAUGAGGGGUAAAGUUUACUGUUCUUCUGGUUUUAGUAAAUUUCAGAGUGGUUUUUGCUGCGUGCACCCCGAAUUUUGUUA